CCUAAUAGACAUGAGGGUCAAUGUCUGAAUCAAUAAUAUUGCACAACUCCAGUGACAAGUCAGCAGUACAAAAGAGGGUCAGUUUUGCUGCUGCAAAUGAAUCCCUAGCAAUCAAAGAUAAUUCUGCAUCAUAAUAGACAUGUGGCAGGCGUAAUAGAUCUCAUUCCCUGCCUGUGAUCAAGGGACAGGCAGGAGCUCAGUGAAGGCUCCGGUCCCCAGAAAACAACGUGCUGAAGAACGGAGGCUUUCACCACAUCAGAGACAGACCUCAGUGGGGAUGGAGGCCGUGCAGCCUCGGGGAGGCCGGAGUGGGUGAGGGCAGCAGGGUCUGGGAUUGUCGUGCGGUCCCUUGUUCUCCCAACCCAGCUGAGCCUGGGCGAAGCUUUGGCUCAUUGUCGGGGUUCUGCGUCUUCCUGUGUAAACUAGAGGAAGGGUUGGAGCGGAGGGAGUGUGCAGGGAGCUGUCAAAUGUUUUGGAAAGCAGUACAACCUCACCCAACCAGUCUGGAAUCCUGGAGAGAGGGGAAAGGUGGAGCCGGUAGGGCCCGGAGCACAAGCGGUGGGUGGAAAGAGGCACCUGGUCAUGGAGGACAGGAGGUGAACCCAACUGGCCGCCGACCGGACUGGAUCCAGGCGUGGGAGCCCUGGGGCGCUGCUGCAGAUUCUUGCCAGCAGGAGUCUGCUUCGAGAAUCUGCGACCCCCAGCCCCCAGCCCCCAUCUGCGGCCCACCAUGUCAGUGAGCUUCCCAGGGCUGCUGUAACAACGUUCGUAGUUCUUCUUGGAAGGGUUGUCUUCACACAUGCUCCUGGUUACAGCCGCAAGCUGGAGCCUGCUGUCGUCCGCACCGUCGCCAACGCCCCUGCCUGUCACCGGCCUCCCUCUCGGUGGGAGAUAAAGCUGCUCUCCCUCAGACUUCCGCCUGCAUACGGAUCUCUCGACUGCGGCAAUCUCAGCACUACUUCUGACCCACUGAGACUGGGCGUUUAAACAGCCUUCGCAUACAUGCCAGCAUCGUAACCAAGUCUGGGAAGUCUUUACUGUCCUUGUGACGUCCGCAUUCCAGGUACGGAUCCGUUACGACACGGAGUUCAAUUACCGUCCCAGGACGAAGAGCAAGUGAAUGGUUGGAAGAGCAGACCCACACGUCGGGCUUCCCAACCCCGAGCACUGCCGUAGGGGGCGAGUGUGACAUUCACGGGUGCCAAAUGAGGACUAGACAUUGCAGACAGAUCCUCACGCAGACUUUCUGUGAAAUAAGUUCGACACGCUGUUUUCCUGUGGCAUCUAUGCCUGGGCGUUUCUAUUUUGUUCAGGAAGCAUGUAGCUGAUUAAAUAAUAUUCAGCCUUUGGUUAACUUUUGGGAGAUGGGCUUCCAUUGCAAAUAAUGAUUUAUUCCUCUCAAUAAUUGCAUAGAUUUUUUUGUACUCAUUUAUGGUCUAGGUAACCCAGUGUCUGCUCGGCUCACGGUUCCAGCGCGAGCCUACAGUUCAUGUGAGGUUGGCGGAUGCCAUCCCUGCAAACUGCAAGUCAGUCAUUCAGCUUUUCUGCCUCAGUUACUCAAUAACCAAGCCUUUAUUAGAAGAGAGAAAGAGAGGAAGGAGGAAGGGAGGGAAGAAAGGAGGAAGGGAAAUAGACUAUUUCACAUUUUGAUUGUUAAGUUAGUAUCGGAUUACUUUCACCGAAGGCAAGCAUAGAUUUGCGGUGUAAUUCUCUUUUAAAUUUUAUUUUUGCUGUUUGUCUUGCUGUCAUGGAGAGCCAAAAAAAUGGGCUGGGCUUUUUUUUCACAUUUUUUUUCCUCAAGAGUGCUGUUUCUUCACUAAUAUCCAAUGAGCCACGUUUACCACCUGUUCUAUUGAUUUUGUGUGUUGAAUUAUGGAAUGUGCUGGUAACUGAGAUAUAAAAUAAAUGAAAAACAUAAAAUAUGUGAAAACGA